rnacentral:rRNA from 1 species
CGUGGGUAAUCUGCCCCAAUGACCGGGACAACCCGGGGAAACUCGGGCUAAUACCGGAUGUGGUGCACAGGCAUAAGCCUGUGUACUAAAGGUAGCUUCGGCUUCCGCAUUGGGAGGGGCCCGCGGCCCAUUAGCUUGUUGGUGGGGUCAAGGCCUACCAAGGCAACGAUGGGUAGCUGGUCUGAGAGGACGAUCAGCCACACUGGGACUGAGACACGGCCCAGACUCCUACGGGAGGCAGCAGUGGGGAAUCUUGCGCAAUGCGCGAAAGCGUGACGCAGCAACACCGCGUGAGGGAAGACGGCCUUAGGGUUGUAAACCUCUUUCAGAUGGGACGAAGGUUCAGCGGUGAAUAGCCGACUGGAUUGACGGUACCGUCAGAAGAAGCUCCGGCUAACUACGUGCCAGCAGCCGCGGUAAUACGUAGGGAGCGAGCGUUGUCCGGAAUCAUUGGGCGUAAAGAGCACGUAGGUGGAUCAAUUAGUCUGCUGUGAAAGUCAAAGGCUCGACCUUUGAAAGCCGGUGGAUACUGUUGAUCUAGAGUACGGAAGAGGCGAGUGGAAUUCCUGGUGUAGCGGUGGAAUGCGCAGAUAUCAGGAGGAACACCAAUAGCGAAGGCAGCUCGCUGGGACGUUACUGACGCUG